rnacentral:lncRNA from 1 species
CACGUGAUCUGGCCGACGGUGAACGUGAGGCCUUCAGGCACGGCCGCGGAAGCUGGGAUCGUGACCAUCUUGUUCGCCGAAGAAGUUGCACGCACACCCCCUACCUGGCGCACCACUGUCGACGAAAGCUAGUCGGCAGUCUACCUUGGGGUAUACCCACGGUAGUAGUUUAUCGGUAGACGGUGCGCAAACUACGAACUCGAUGGUGACGCAAGACACGGACAAGCUUUUUAUCCAGGUUCGGCCGCCGAGUUGGCGUAAUACCUACGUCCUGCGUCUGGUUGUAUUGGAUUGUGUUGAGAGAAUAUUCGCCCCCUAGGGGGGUCCCUUGCCCCUCCUUAUAUAGUCCGGAGGGCAAGGUUACAGAUCUAGAAACUAAUCCUAGUCGGUUACAAUUGCCAUAGAUAGUUCGAUAUCAAUUCCUAUUCUAACCGACUAGAAUCCUGCUUGAUCUUCACGGCUUGUUCCCUUGCGCGAAACUCCAAGCUGUCGGAUCAAACUUUGAGCUUGUCUCGUAAUGGGCCAAGUCUCCUGGCCCAAGUCUAGCCGUAAGGGUAUAGGGGUUUAUACCCCCACAGCUAGUCCCCGAGCACCAUGUAUUGUGAAGUAACACGCCAUCUUGAGCUUCUUCGACCAAUGAAAUUUUGACAUCUUCAAUCAGCAUGAAAUUCACCCAGACAGUUGCGACGGUAUUUUGACCAAAUCUAAACAUAUUUGAUCAACAUUGACAUCGAAGAAGCCAAUUGUUCGAAGAAUGCAUGGUGCUCUUGAGAAAAAAUAUUUCCUUUCCGGUGAAGUGUGCCCACUUUACUUUUCUGAAAAGUACGGAUCCUUAAAAAAGCAAGCAUAUUCACCGCAAGGUGAAGUGUGCCCACUUAGUCCCCGAGCCUGGUAGUAGGUGACGUAGGCACGUGGUGCCAGGGUCAAAAGAAAAGUCCUCAAAGAAAUUCUGAAACUGAGAUGCAUCGCCAGAUGCAUCGUACCGAUGUAGUCCCCGAGCUUGCUGGAAGGCGAAGUAUGAGCCUUGUAGCAAGGUCUAAAAAAUUGAAUUUACCAGUCCCCGAGCAUAUCAUGCUCGUCUGCAAUUGAAUAGACUAAUCGACCAGUCCCCGAGCAUAUAACGCUCGGUGGUCGGUAUAGUCCCCGAAUUCUCAAAUUGGUGGGCUGGUCGACCAGUCCCCGAGCGUAUAGUGCUCGGUGGUCGGCACAGUCCCCGAGCACGGCGUAGGGACCGGUGGACAAGUCCCCGAGCGUGGUUGGGAACGUAAACGUGCUCGGUGGUCGGCACAGUCUUCGAGCACAGCAUAGAGAGUAGUCGACAAGUCCCCGAGCGUGGUUGGGAACGUAAACGUGCUCGGUGGUCGGAGCAGUCCCCGGGCACAGCGUAGGGAAUAGUCGACGAGUCCCCGAGCGUAGCUUGUCGACUGGGUCAAACUCCUGAAAAAUAAAUAUAGAGAAAAUAGGUAGUACAUGAUGUAUAAAUAAACUCUAGAUAAAAAAUCAGCACUGAGAUAAGUUUUAGAUUUUUUAUUAUAAAAUUAGCACGAGUAGUUAAUUCAUGCUAGAGCUUGUACCAGCUCUGGUCUAGCCAACAAUCAGCAUGAGGUGCGGAACCUAGGCACGCGUAGGAUUGUCAGCCACGUCAGAGAGCUACUGCCGACCACCCGGAACGCAGAGGGCGGAUCUCGUGCACGUGUAGGGAGGAGUCGGAGACAGUACCGGCUCUGGAAAGCUCGUGUAGGAGAAAAAACUAGUUGGCUAAAAAGUUGUUUUGAAGAAUAAUAAUAUUAAAAAUAUUAUGCCAAAAAUAAAUAAGAUAUUAGAAGUGUACUUAUCUUUGGAUGAAAGUCUGGUCGGUGACAACAAAGUUGUGUGGCCCUCGAGCUUUUGGACUUGUUAUCGGGACGGUGGUCGCGGUUCUCGUAGCACCGUUCUUCGCGGCGAUUAUUAUUGCGACUCGUGAUCAGAGCAAGUAGGCCAAACAACUUGGUUGAUAGGCUGAGCAGGUCGGUGUCGUCGAUCUGCCUCCCUUUGUAGCAGAGAAGCGGCGACGCGUUGUCGGCGUGGUCGGAGACGUUGCUGGUGUGGUCGAAACCGUAGCCAGCGUGGUUGGAGCCGCAGCCGACGUCGGUGAAGAAGUGAUCGGCACAGAUCGGAUCUACGCCUCCUCUACGGUCAUGGCGGUGAAGCUGUUGAAGCCGACGAUGAACGUGAAGCCGCCCGCCAUGACCGCGAAGUCGGGGAUGAUGGCCAUCUUGUUCGUCGGGAGAGCUGUACGCACACCCCCUACCUGGCGCGCCACUGUCGACGAAAGCUAGUCGGCAGUCUACCUUGGGGUAUACCCACGGUAGUAGUUUAUCGGUAGACGGUGCGCAAACUACGAACUCGAUGGUGACGCAAGACACGGACAAGCUUUUUAUCCAGGUUCGGCCGCCGAGUUGGCGUAAUACCUACGUCCUGCGUCUGGUUGUAUUGGAUUGUGUUGAGAGAAUAUUCGCCCCCUAGGGGGGUCCCUUGCCCCUCCUUAUAUAGUCCGGAGGGCAAGGUUACAGAUCUAGAAACUAAUCUUAGUCGGUUACAAUUGCCAUAGAUAGUUCGAUAUCAAUUCCUAUUCUAACCGACUAGAAUCCUGCUUGAUCUUCACGGCUUGUUCCCUUGCGCGAAACUCCAAGCUGUCGGAUCAAACUUUGAGCUUGUCUCGUAAUGGGCCAAGUCUCCUGGCCCAAGUCUAGCCGUAAGGGUAUAGGGGUUUAUACCCCCACAAUGUUCCGUCUCUAUAAGAAUGUUCUAGGUUUAGAAAAACAGUGUUCUAAUUUUAGAUUCAUAAAAAUAGUAUUAUAAUAUACAUAAAAAUUAAAAAUUAAAAAUAAAUAAAAUCUAAAACAAAACAUAAUAAAUAAAUAAAAACACGUAACAGAGUAUAAAAGAACGUCAUAUGGAUAUUUUUUAGACGUCCUAAAAAUAUAUUAUAGAACAUCGAUCAUAUAUAUAUACUGAGUGAAUAUCACCAAAUAUACCAUAAAACACCACUAAAAACAUUAUAGAACAUCACAUAUAUUAUAUAAACAUUACAUAUAUAUUCUAUAAAUAUCAUUAAUACACUAUAGAACAUCACAUGUAUACUAUGUGAAUAUCAUAGAAAACACCAUAGAACAGCACCUAUAUCCUAUGAGAACAUCAAACAUCAUAUAACACCACCUGUAUACUAAGAGAACAUCACAUAUAUAUUACGCGAACAUCACAAACAUAUUAUAAAAUAUAUAUAUAACAUGUAAACAUCAUAAAAAAUAUCAUAAAACAUCACAUCUAUGAUAUCGCUGCGGGAGCCAAACUAGCAGCGGCCCUUCUCCGUUGACCUCAAGACCAUGGAGGUGGCGCCUGCGACAGAGGAUACAAGGGAAAGGAUGGCAUAUUGGUGUGAGUUUCCAUGGCCACCAGUUUUGCAAGUUUGCUUGGAUAUAUAGAUGAUGGAUUUACUGAAUUGAUUUAUGUGUUUAUUGAGGAAAAAAUAGGUGUUUAUUCAAUUUUUGCUUAUGUUGGUAAAUAAUACAACCGUAACUUUUUU